CUGAACCAGCCAAGUAGCGUGAAGGAUGACUGCCCUAUGGGUUGUAAACUUCUUUUAUACGGGAAUAAAGUGAGGCACGUGUGCCUUUUUGUAUGUACCGUAUGAAUAAGGAUCGGCUAACUCCGUGCCAGCAGCCGCGGUAAUACGGAGGAUCCGAGCGUUAUCCGGAUUUAUUGGGUUUAAAGGGAGCGUAGGCGGAUUAUUAAGUCAGUUGUGAAAGUUUGCGG
rnacentral:rRNA from 1 species